UAGGAGAAAGCAAAAGGUGGGGAGAGUUCAAGUUCUUACUUCAGAAUGGGUCACCUAAAAAUGCCAUAUGUAAAACGCAACAUCCAGCCUACCACCUGCCCCUGCAGGUUCUCCCUCUGCUGUUGGUGUACCCAUUUAAAAUAAGAAUAUAGGGGAUUUUGCUUUAAUGGGAAAAUUCUUCCUCCCUGUUACCUUUUGGUGUCAGUAAUAGCACUGAGAAAUCUGACUGCAUAUGGUUAGUGUUUGCUUGCAUUUGUCAUGCGUUAUAGAAUCAGAUUUUUUAAAGUAUUAUUUUCUGCACAGCCUUUUAUUCAGUCGUGGGGGGACACUAUGCAGAUUUAUAUACCAAGCUAUAGGAGCAUGGUCUGAAAUGCCUACUAAAGCCUUUCCUGGAUGAACCACUCUCAACCACCCCAUCCACUUUGCCUGCGAAGCCACUGAAAACAAAAGAGGCUGACAACAGGGGAAGCCCCAACUUUGACAAUAAAAAUAUGUCAGCAUGAAAAUGGUUAAUGAUUGCAUUUUAAAUCAAAAUGUUCUCCAUGACUGACUGCUUUGCAGCACUAGGCUAGGAUGGAGGAAUGAGUCUUCCUCUAAUGACACAGCCUGGUGCAUGCGCGGUCCUCAAGCAUCUGCAGACCGACGGCACAGCAGCCACUGGGCCUGCAGCACGCAGCCCCACAAAUUAAAUUCACGACUCUCACAUCGGGCCAAAAACGCAACAGGAGAAGUCUAUGAGAAAUUAGGAAAUCUUUUUGACAUCGGGAAAUCCGACACUUGCCUGCUCUAACAUCUAAAGUAACCUGUGUAUCUCCAAGACAGUAUUGGGGUUGUUUCCUGAGGAAGCCUAUAGGUAAAGAGAUAUUCACACAUUCACACGGGAGGAUUCAUAAAGGCAGGGUGAGAAUAUAAAGGUAUUAUUUUGACAUGACAAGCCCUGCUUGGAAAAUGUCUUCGACUCAUCCAAAGUUGUUGCCACUUCUGCUGCCUUUGCUUUGGAGAAGUCAAGUAAUUCUCUGGCCCCUUUGAAAUAUGUCUCAUCUGCACCGAAUUUCUGCCAACAAACCAACCCAUAGAUACGGAUGUAAGAAAUAUUUAUUAUCAUCGAGUCAGGCUUUCUUUUACUUAAUCUGAGGCAAUUAGUACCUGAAUAAACACAGACUAAGUAAUCUACCUCCUCAAAAGGUAAUUAGACUUGAAAAGCGCUGUUCAGCUCUACCCAAGGAAAGCACGGCUCUGAUUAAAACACUUUGGAGAUUCGCUUUCAUCCUUACUGCCUUUUGCCCUGGAAAACCUUUUAUAAAAUCCUUGUAACUUUUAAUUUCUCCCCAUACCAAACCUGAGGGCCACUCUUGGCCAUUGCUGCCCUCUUCCACCUCCUCAAAUCUUUAACCCCGCUUCUCAUUUUUCUUUGCCUCUAAUCUAAUCGCUAAUUCCUUGGCUUGGCCAAAUAGUUAAAAAUGUUAAGUGCUGCUCACAAUUCCUGCUGCCUCCCCCUCGUAUCUGUCUCUGUUUAUGGAAUGGGCCCUGGUUUCCUCCUGCUCUUGUUCAGCUGUAGGUCUGCAGGUCAGGAGACUGUAAAUACACACAGUGCUGCCCCAACCCAUAAAUCUGAGCAAAGGGCAGCCUUAUAUAUUCAGAUAAGGGAUGCAAGGCAGGGGGUGGAGGGGGGUUGAAGAAAAGGAAUGGAAGAGAACAGGCAGACUCUGUGAUGAAGGAGGCACUUCGCUAGUGACAAAACCUGAGGUGCCAGCAGGCGCUGGGGGUAAGCUCUGCAGGACAGAGAAAGGAAAGCUCUGCUGCCUUGCCGGAUGUGCCAGUGAGAGAUGAACCUGAGAUGUUUGCCCUUCUCCCACCCCUCCUUGUUUAGAUACAAAUCAUUACAAAACGCAUUUUAUUACUUUUGGGGCAACAAAAUUAAACAAGAGGUUUUCGAUGGCUUU